rnacentral:rRNA from 1 species
UACGUAGGGACCAAGCGUUGUUCGGAUUUACUGGGCGUAAAGGGCGCGUAGGCGGCGCGGUAAGUCACUUGUGAAAUCUCUGAGCUUAACUCAGAACGGCCAAGUGAUACUGCGGGGCUAGAGUGCAGAAGGGGCAACUGGAAUUCUCGGUGUAGCGGUGAAAUGCGUAGAUAUCGAGAGGAACACCUGCGGCGAAGGCGGGUUGCUGGGCUGACACUGACGCUGAAACGCGAAAGCUAGGGGAGCGAACGGG